rnacentral:rRNA from 2 species
GAUACGGGACUCAUCCNAGGCCCCGUAAUCGGAAUGAGCACACUUUAAAUCCUUUAACGAGUAUCCAUUGGAGGGCAAGUCUGGUGCCAGCAGCCGCGGUAAUUCCAGCUCCAAUAGCGUAUAUUAAAGUUGUUGCGGUUAAAAAGCUCGUAGUUGGACUUGUGUCCCACGCUGUCGGUUCACCGCCCGUCGGUGUCUAACUGGCAUGGUUCGUGGGACGUCCUGCCGGUGGCGGCGAGUCGAAGGAGCGCUCCCGUCGUGGUUCACGCCGCGAUCGAGGUUGCGGUCCGGAGACGGACCCCGAUGAAAUCCUACCGCGGUGCUCUUCACCGAGUGUCGAGGUGGGCCGGCACGUUUACUUUGAACAAAUUAGAGUGCUUAAAGCAGGCCUGUUGCGCCUGAAUACUGUGUGCAUGGAAUAAUGGAAUAGGACCUCGGUUCUAUUUUGUUGGUUUUCGGAACCCGAGGUAAUGAUUAAUAGGGACAGUCGGGGGCAUUCGUAUUGCGACGUUAGAGGUGAAAUUCUUGGAUCGUCGCAAGACGGACCGAAGCGAAAGCAUUUGCCAAGUAUGUUUUCAUUAAUCAAGAACGAAAGUUAGAGGUUCGAAGGCGAUCAGAUACCGCCCUAGUUCUAACCAUAAACGAUGCCAGCUAGCGAUCCGCCGAAGUUCCUCCGAUGACUCGGCGGGCAGCUCCCGGGAAACCAAAGCUUUUGGGUUCCGGGGGAAGUAUGGUUGCAAAGCUGAAACUUAAAGGAAUUGACGGAAGGGCACCACCAGGAGUGGAGCCUGCGGCUUAAUUUGACUCAACACGGGAAACCUCACCAGGCCCGGACAC